rnacentral:rRNA from 1 species
AUUGAACGCUGGCGGCAGGCCUAACACAUGCAAGUCGAGCGGAUGAAGGGAGCUUGCUCCUGGAUUCAGCGGCGGACGGGUGAGUAAUGCCUAGGAAUCUGCCUGGUAGUGGGGGAUAACGUCCGGAAACGGGCGCUAAUACCGCAUACGUCCUGAGGGAGAAAGUGGGGGAUCUUCGGACCUCACGCUAUCAGAUGAGCCUAGGUCGGAUUAGCUAGUUGGUGGGGUAAAGGCCUACCAAGGCGACGAUCCGUAACUGGUCUGAGAGGAUGAUCAGUCACACUGGAACUGAGACACGGUCCAGACUCCUACGGGAGGCAGCAGUGGGGAAUAUUGGACAAUGGGCGAAAGCCUGAUCCAGCCAUGCCGCGUGUGUGAAGAAGGUCUUCGGAUUGUAAAGCACUUUAAGUUGGGAGGAAGGGCAGUAAGUUAAUACCUUGCUGCUUUGACGUUACCAACAGAAUAAGCACCGGCUAACUUCGU